GAGCUGGCAGCACUGUUGUCGCAGCAAUAAGUGCCACCUUUUCAUGAGGCAAUUAAUUGACACUUAACACUCGCGUAUUGUUACAUUGUGUUAAUAUGUAUAAGUAAAAAUUUGUUGAUAAAUAUAAAUUUAAUAAAUAAUAGAUAUAAAUACGAUCUCCAUAAAGGAGAAUGCGUCAAAGUGUUUUGAAAACCAACCCCCUAACCAGCUGAGAGUGUAUGUGUGCUAGUGUGCGUCAGUAAUCUAGUGUAUAUAAAUGCGUGUGCGCGUGUAUGUGUGUAUGAAGCGUGAAAAAACAGCCGGCAAAGUUUUUUGUUUUCGCAUGUGGAAUAAUAGCAAACUGUGCACGCUCUUAAAUUGACCGUUUGCCUUGGUUCUGUGUGUGUUGUAGCCAGUAAAAGCAAAUCUAUCGUGCAAACCAGUUAACGAUGCGCUGAGCAUUGACAAUUAACGUAAAAGCCACUGCCGCCAUUCAGUCAAUUGUCACAACAACAACAACAUCAAUUAUUAGGAUAGUGGCACGUUGCUGCCGUGUUUUCCCUGUUAGAUUAAAUCAUAUAUAUCUGAUACGUAUGUACAUAUAAGAGAGAAUCUCUUUGAGUAAAAUAGCCAACGGGGCACGUGCGUUACGCCUUGAACAUACAUAAAGAUGCAGCGAAUCUGGCGAUUGCUGCACUGGCGGUACCUGACACGGGAGCAAAUCAAAGGCUUUGACAAUUACAAGUACAGCGCCAUAGACACGUCGCCGCUCAGCCAACAUGUAAUGCAUCCAUUUUGGGAUUGGCUGGUCAAGUUCUUCCCGCGCUGGUUUGCGCCUAAUCUGAUGACCUUUCUGGGCUUCCUGUUUAGCGUGAUGAAUCUGGUGCUGCUCUCCUACUAUGAUUGGAAUUUCGAGGCCAGUUCGGGUGAGGAGGGUACGACACCGAUACCCAAAUGGGUUUGGUUGAGCGCUGCAAUCAACAUAUUUGUUGCGUACACGCUGGAUGGCAUUGACGGCAAACAGGCGCGUCGCAUUGGUCUGUCGGGUCCGCUGGGCGAACUGUUUGAUCAUGGUCUGGACUCCUAUACGGCCAUGAUUAUACCCACAUGUCUGUACAGUAUCUUUGGACGCAGCAGGGUCUAUUCGGUGCGGCCGAUGCGAAUGUAUUACGUUUGCUUAACGGUCUAUUUCAAUUUCUUUGUGUCGCACUGGGAGAAAUACAACACGGGCAUAUUGUAUCUGCCGUGGGGCUAUGAUCUCAGCAUGUGGGGCAGCACAGCCAUGUACAUGUUCACGUGGUGGGCGGGCUUCGAGCGUUGGAAAUUCGAGCUGCCCUUGGGCUCGCUCGGUACUCUGCCGUUGGGCAAUGUCAUGGAAGCUGUGCUGCAUGUCAGUGCCAUGGCCAAUCUACCUCUUGUAAUUCUCAAUGUCUACAACUCAUACGCCCAGCGCACCGGCCGGCUGCUGUCAGCAUGGGAGGCACUGCGUCCGAUGUGGCCAUUCGUGACCUACUUUGUGCUGCUCUUGGUCUGGCCAUUUCUGUCGCCCAAUGAUAUUAUGGAAAGAGAUCCGCGCGCCAUGUUCAUGCUCAGUGGCACAAUCUUCUCCAACGUCAGCUGCCGUCUAAUUGUGUCGCAAAUGUCCGUGACGCGGUGCGAGGCCUGGCACUGGCAGACGCCUAUGUUCGUGAUGUCGCUGUUGGCGAGCCUGUGGCUGCCCUCGCUGGAACGGCCGCUGCUCUACACGCUGCUGAUUGUGACCACAUUGACCCAUUGGCACUACGGCGCCAGUGUCGUGAAUCAGAUGUGUGAGCACUUCAAUCGGGUUUGCUUUACAGUGCAUAAACGAGUGACGCAUCUGGAAUGGCAGCAGCAGGAGCAGCAGAAGUCGCUGCAGGAUCAUCAUACGGAGCAGUCGGGGACCACAGUGAAACAGGAUUAGGCUACAAAUUGGCUGUGCUUUAUAGCAAAAAUAUGUUAUUCAUGAGCGAAUUAACUAUUUCGGAUGUGCUUCGACCACUUGGAGGCUUUUUCAUGUCAAAUCACGUGAGAUAAAACGCAAAUUACAAUUCAAGUGCUAAGUGUUUCAAAUGAGUUCUGUGAGUCGGCUGUGAAUCUCGAUUGCAGAUCG